GAUCAUGGCUCAGGACGAACGCUGGCGGCGUGCCUAACACAUGCAAGUCGAACGGAGAAUUUUAUUUCGGUAGAAUUCUUAGUGGCGAACGGGUGAGUAACGCGUAGGCAACCUGCCCUUUAGACGGGGACAACAUUCCGAAAGGAGUGCUAAUACCGGAUGUGAUCAUCGUGCCGCAUGGCAGGAUGAAGAAAGAUGGCCCUCUAACAAGUAAGCUAUCGACGUAAAGGAGUCGGGCCUGCGU
rnacentral:rRNA from 1 species